rnacentral:rRNA from 1 species
UACGUAGGCGGAAAAUUAAGUCAGUAGUGAAAUCCCGCAGCUUAACUGUGGAACUGUUAUUGAUACUGGUUUUCUUGAAUGUAGUUGAGGUAGGCGGAAUGUGUAAUGUAGCGGUGAAAUGCUUAGAUAUUACACAGAACACCGAUUGCGAAGGCAGCUUACUAAGCUACGAUUGACGCUGAGGUACGAAAGCGUGGGGAGCGAACAGGAUUAGAUACCCUGGUAGUCC